UAGAAUUGACGGGACCGCACAAGCGGUGGAUGAUGUGGUUAAUUCGAUGCAACGCGAAAACCUUACCACCUUUGACAUGUACGGAAUCCUUUAGAGAUAGAGGAGUGCUCGAAAGAGAGCCGUAACACAGGUGCUGCAUGGCUGUCGUCAGCUCGUGUCGUGAGAUGUUGGGUUAAGUCCCGCAACGAGCGCAACCCUUGUCAUUAGUUGCUACAUUCAGUUGGGCACUCUAAUGAGACUGCCGGUGACAAACCGGAGGAAGGUGGGGAUGACGUCAAGUCCUCAUGGCCCUUAUAGGUGGGGCUACACACGUCAUACAAUGGAUGGUACAAAGGGUCGCCAACCCGCGAGGGGGAGCCAAUCCCAUAAAGCCAUUCGUAGUCCGGAUCGCAGUCUGCAACUCGACUGCGUGAAGUCGGAAUCGCUAGUAAUCGUGGAUCAGAAUGUCCACGGUCGAAUACGUUCCCGGGCCUU
rnacentral:rRNA from 1 species